UUUUUUUUUUUUUUUUUUUUUAGACGGAGUCUUGCUCUGUGGCCAGGCUGGAGUGCAGUGGCAUGAUCUUGGCUUACUGCAACCUCUGCCUCCCGGAGCCUGGUAAGGGAGGAGACCACCCCUCAUAUUGUCUUAUGCCCAAUUUCUGCCUCCAAAGAAAGAAGAAGUAAAAACUAAAAGGCAGAAAUGAAAUCCACAGGCAGACAGCCCGGCGCCACACCCUGGGCCUGGUAGUUCAAAAUCGACCCCUGACCUAAUCAGUUAUGUUAUCUAUAGAUUACCGACAUUGUAUGGAAAUGGAAAAGCACUGUGAAAAUCCCUGUCCUGUUCCGUUCCACUCUAAUUACCAGUGCAUGCAGCCCCCAGUCACAUACCUGCUGCAGCCCCCAGUCACAUAUCUGCUGCUUGCUUAAUCGAUCACGACCCUCUCACGCGGACCCUCUUAGAGUUGUGAGCCCCUAAGAGGGACAGGAAUUGCUCCCUCAGGGAGCUGGGUUGUUGGAGAUGUGAGUCUUGCUGAUGCUCCAGGCCGAAUAAAGCCCUUCCUUCUUUAACUCGGUGUCUGAGGGGUUUUGUCUGUUACUCAUCCUGCUACACAGGUUCAAGCAAUUCUCCUGCCUCAGCCUCCCGAGUAGUGGGACUACAGGCAUGCACCACCAAGCCCAGCUAAUUUUUGUGAUUUUAGUAGAGACAGGGUUUCACCAUGUUGGCCAGGAUGGUCUCAAUCUCUUGACCUCAUGAUCCACCCGCCUCCGCCUCUUAAAGUGCUGAGAUUACAGGCGUGAGCCACCUUUAGGUUUAGGUUUGCCUUUUUACCUAAACUUUGCAGUGAGGCAAAACCUCCAGCGCUGGCCAGAAGUCUAUUCCUGCUUCCCCUAGCACAGUGGCUGCGUCUCCGCGGGCCUGGGUGCGGCCAAGGCCAUGGUCCGCACUGCUGUCCUCCAGUCGUGCCCCUUCCUGCGGCUGGGGAAGGCAACUGGGCGCUUGCCGGUGACAGCCACAGCACCUGUGCCACGCCGGGCCUCCGACUGUGGCUUUAGAGCCGAAGCUUACUCAUCCUGAUGCCACAGCCCGACUCUGCGUGGAGGGAAAUGAACUUGGUUCUAAGGACCUGUUUCAGACCCUCUGUUGCUGAAGCCCAGCUCCCGCCAACAGGAGAGGGAGAGGGGCACUUCACCUGCCGCUUGCUUUAUUCUCGUAUUUAUUUACCUCCAUAUCUCCAAAUAAUCUGCUCAUUUCACCUUUUCUUGAUUUAUAAAAUUGAAAUACUAUUAGCUUCAGGCAAUUAAAUAUUAGACUCAAAUACACUAACCAGACUUUCAAUUCCCGGUUUCUUUAGCAGAGGGCCCUCCUGGUUCCCCUUUCUCCCAAAGCCCCCUUCCCCCAAAACCUCCUGGCUCCGUGGCAGGGCUGGGUGCGGGGAGCUGCGGGUGGGGUCAGAGGCAGCUGCCACAGCUCCUCCCCGGAUUUCACCGCCUCGCCGCUUUCACCCCCACCCCUGCAGCCUCAGGGAUCAUCAGGCACACCAGGGAGCCCUCCCCUCCUCUGCAGGCCCUGCCCAUGCACUGGGAGCUGUAGCUGUCCGCUCUUUUUCCUCCAACAAUGCCUGUGAUCUAUUUUCCAGCUUCCAAAAAUAAAUAGAAAUUUCCCCAUCAACUGUUAACGUCCCUUCCCAGUCUUUUCACUCUCAGGGAUUUUUUCCUACAGAUUUAUUUUUUCAUGCAUUCCCCACCACCCUGAGCCAUUUUGGUAACUGAGUCCAGGUCAGCCAAGCAGUAUAGGACACUGUUUCCUAAGCAUUGGCUGUGGUGACCUAGUGGCACCAAGAAUUCCCUCAGAAACUUAAUAACGAUGCAAACCCCCAAGUGUCCUCUUUAGUAGGUCUGUCAUGGGCUCUGGAAAUGGAGCGUUACAUCUCUCCUGGGAAACUAAAGCACGUCUCGCCUUGAGGACCAUGGCGUGCACAGUCUCUGCUAGUGGACACUUGGGGGCUGAAUUUUACCACUCCCCCAAAUUCCUAUGUUGAAGCCCUAACAGCCAGGACCUCAGAAUGUGGCUGUAUUCAAAGAUGGGGGUCUUUAGGCCGGGCGCGGUGGCUCACUUCUGUAAUCCCAGCACUUUGGGAGGAUGAGGUGGGCAGAUCACGAGGUCAGGAGAUCGAGAUCAUCCUGGCUAACAUGGUGAAACCCUGUCUCUACUAAAAAAUACAAACAAUUAGCCGGGCGUGGUGGCCGGUGCCUAUAGUCCCAGCUACUCGGGAGACUGAGGCAGGAGAAUGGUGUGAACCUGCGAGGCAGAGGUUGCAGUGAGCUGAGAUCACACCACUGCACUCCAGCCCAGGAGACAGUGCGAG
ensembl:lncRNA